UGAACCCGUUAAAUGUUACCUGGCGGCGCAGGUUAAGCAAAGGCGCACCCUCCGAACAUUCUAGAAUUCAGUUACACGCGUUUACCGUUUCACCCAAAAAACCCUAGCCCUCACUCCCCACUCUUUAUAAACACCUCCUUACCCACAUCUCAAUCUCAUCUUCUUCUCUCAGAUUUAGGGUUUCACCAUUGGCGCUGCAUUUUGGCAACUCUGGUCUCGUUCGUCGUAACGGCCGAUUCGGCCUUGCCGACCAUCCUGUUAUAUCACCACCCAUAUUCCGAGUCUCUUCCUGAAAUCAAAUCACGUUUUUCACUUUUUUUCUCCAAUUUUUUAUUCUUUCAAUUGGCCGAUGAUUAAACUAAAUAUUUAGACAAGCAUAUGUCUGAAUUAAUUCAUGUGGAAAAUCUAAUCUUCUCUAUGAGGCCUCUUUUUAUUUUCUCUUCACACUUAGAUCUAAUUUUCACAUUAUUUUUUCUCAAUUUGAUUCAAUUUUUUCUGUUAUUGUUCUUCCAAUGAUGAGAUCGAUGGAUUAUAUGUUAGGGUAUGAAUAUUGAUGAUUAUUGUACCAUACUGCCUUCCUUCUGAGGAUUUAUAGUUUAUCCUUUUGUUUAUUUUUACUGGUAGAUUCACAUUGUUGAUGGAGACUCAUGUGAUGAUGAAUAGCAUAGUUCAACUGAUCUAAUCAUGAUUAAGCAAAUCUUUUAGUCUUUCGCUCCUAUCUGAUGAUUCUCCUUCAAUGAACUAAAUUUUCAAUUAUGCGCUGUUUUGUUUUUAACUUCAAUUGCUUCUUUUGGGACAUUCGUCUGCCCCGGAAGCAGUGUUUCUGAUUUCUUUUGGGAAGAAGACGUCCCUUAUAUGCAAAUUAUCCAUCUGUUUCACUUUGUCAGCUCUUUUAAUAAUAUUUUGCUGAUCAUUUUAGGAUGGAACAUUAUUCAAUGGAUAAGUAUUUUUGUUAGUUUAUGGUAAUGUUGUCAGUGAUGAUAGCAUUAAGGCUUGUUUCUCAAAACAUUCGCAGUGGCCGACCAAGAGCUUUCGCCUUCGCCAGGCUUGAGAGCUAAUGCUGUUUUUAUCCUUCCUUGGAUGUCUGAGACGACACUUAAUUUGUUAAUUCUUUUGUCAAAUAAUGUUAAUUUUCACAGUAUGCUUAAUUUUUAAAUUUGUUUACUCAAUUUAUUUCAA